rnacentral:lncRNA from 1 species
UUUCUAGGUGAAGAUUUUUUAGGUGAAGCUUUGUAGGUGAAGCUUUUUUAAGUGAAGCUUUUCGGGUGAAGCUUUUUAGGUGAAGCUUUGUGGGUGAAGCUUUUUAGGUGAAGCUUUGUGGGUGAAGCUUUGUGGGUGAAGCUUUUUAGGUGAAGCUUUUCGGGUGAAGCUUUUUGGGUGAAGCUUUUUAGGUGAAGCUUUGGAGGUGAAGCUUUUCGGGUGAAGCUUUUUGGAUGAAGCUGUUUUUUUUUUUUUUUUUUUUUUUUUUUUUUUUUUUUUUUUGGCGCUUGACACGGUCUUCAGUUGCUUGUUUUGUAGUGACUGUGGAAGACGGAUUG